CCUUAAUUAAUUAUGGCUCUCUCUCUAUUUCAUUUCUCUCCCCCUAGAAUAUCACGUCAUUUUCUCUCUUUGUUCACGAAACACAAUUUAUUCUCUCUCACAAAAUUAAAGUGAUGGACAAUAAUUCAAUUGAUGCAAUUAAUUCAGCCAAGAGCAGCAAAAUGAAGAUGACAUGCUCCUUUGUGAUUCCUGUCCGAGGAAUGAUCAAGCGUAGGAUGUUUACCGGUUUCAUUCACAAGCUUGUUGGCCUCGUCUGCAAAUUCUUCCACUCCUUUCUCCGCUGCUUAAUUUGAACACAGCACAUAAGUGUUGUCGUUGCUUCAUGUUUGCGUUUCUUCAUCUAAUUGUCACUGAUACUAAUCAUGAUUUAUUCUUCAUGUUGCUGCUUUGGUGCAUGCCACUAUUUUGUUUUAGUUUAAUACUCCGUAUGGUAUUGAUGUUGUUGUCUUCUGUUGCUCAAGAUUGAUUGUUUGUGUUGUGAUUGAUUCAGUGUUACUACAAUGAAGUCGCCAUUUUAUGGAACAGUUUUUCAAGUAUAUUCUAAGUGUACAAUUAUAAGUGAUGAACUAUAAAUAUAACAAGUGUCACAAUUCUAGUUAUGUUUUGGAUAAAACCCAUGUUAAUCGGUCCACAAUCUUGAACUGAAGAUCUCGCUGAUAAAUCAUUAUUCUUUGAAUAAAAGCACAUUUUGAUGCACUCAAUGUUUUUGAUUUUUUUUUUUUAACAAUAAAACAAACUUUUGUUCGUAAGAAACUGAAAUACACUUUUCAAAAAAAAAAAAAAAAAAAAACCCUGAAAUAGUUUCAGAGAUGGCCAUACAUUCCACUCAAAAUUUAAAGAUUUAUCCUUAUAAAGUGUGGCUGCUUAAUUUAUGAGAUACGGUAUUGUAGGAGCGAGGAAUCCAAAACAAGAGAACAGAGUCUACGUACGCGCCUAGAAGAAAGCUCUGCCCUUACAGUAAAUUGCUCCUUUUAUGGGUUUUUCUGACGGUGGAUCCGAACAGGGCAAAACAGUAGUAUUGCCCCAGACCCAAGUCACAUAAGAGGCCAGAACGAAUUCGAGUUUGAGGGCGGGAGUGGGAGAGCGACAAAAUUAAAUCUGAGAAUUUGUGCGAGAGCGUCCAUGGAGCGUGAGAGCAAGAGCGCGGUCGAAAGUCUUUGAACCGUCAGCUUCAUGGCCAAAAUUACAGCCUAUUACGAGGGAAUACUGACCAAUUCAUGUUGCGAUGACGACUAGCACAACUCCUCAAGAUCAAAAGAAAUGCACCUUAGAUGCGUCGGAGCGAAGGUUUGCCCUUGUGAAAGCUGAGCUUCGUCUGCAACAACAGAAGAAGAAUAAAAAGAGAUAUCAUGAAGAAAACAAGAGAGUUACUCAUAUCACAGAUUCUUCUUCAGCACAUCUCACUGCUCCGUCAGUCACACUCUCUUCGAAUUCCUUAUCCAAGAAAGAUUAUUUGUAGGGAAUGCUGCUUUCUCUGGCCACGCUACGACACAAGAUGCCUAAUAGAAGAGGAACCAUAGUCGAUCAGAUUUUGCAAGAGCUUCUAAAAAAUGGUGGUUCAGCUCAGAAAUACAGGCAGGGAUCCAGAAGCAGCAUGAAAAUUGACAAUUGGAUCCUUCUUGACAAUUUUGUACAAAGUCAUGGUGCAGCUUUUGGCGCUCGUCUUAGGGAUUUACAGAACCAUUCAAAAUGCUCAAAUAAGCACAUGUCAAUGAAGCAACAUAAAAAACGUGGAACAUUUGAUUUAUCUCGAGAUCCAUAAGUGAGAUUUAUGCUUUACUGCACAUGUAGUCACAACUUGCACUUCUCUUUUGAUUGCUAUAUUAUUCUGUAAAUAGUGUCAUCAUUUUUGUUUCUCUUCUAGAAAAAAAAAAUAUAAGCUCUUCUUUCCCUUGUCAUCAUAUAUCACUUGAUUGAUGAAUCGGUACCUUUUUUUUUUACUUACUUCCAAAUAUCGUUCCUUCUUUGUUUAGUCUUGUGUAUCUUGCAAAUUUGAAAGUUAAUUGUGUUCAUAAUAUGGCUUAUUGAUUAGUGCUAUUCAGGUGUUAGGACAAACCAUGAAGGGCCUGAACGGAAACUUUUACAUAUCCCACACAAAUUAUACCAUAGUUGUUAAAGGCUCAAUGAGCACUAAUACGCCAAAGGUCUUUUGGAGUCUUAGCACAAGGCGCAACAUGAGGCGUGAGCUUGAUCGAAGUAAGGCAUGUGUUGUGAUAAUAAUGCAUAUUAAAUAUAAUUAUAUGAAGAAUUGCUAAAUGAUGCAACACAAAAUUGUCAAUAUAAAAAAUCAAGAUAUCAAUUAAAUUGAUUAGCUAAAUCAACAUACAUAUAUCAUUUCAAUUUGCAUAUGGAUUCAAUAAACUCAAUGUACAAUCAGACAAUUCAAGAAAUGCAAAACACCUAAUAAAAAUUUCUAUAGGAAAGGGAUUUUUGAUAAUCAACUAAGAGCAUUGGGUAAAUUAAUACUCAUAAAUCCUUUUGUAUGCAUUUACAUUAAUCAAAUUAAAUGUAGUUACAUAUUUGAAACAUUUUUUUUCUUUCCUAAAUUACAUAUUUGAAACAUUAAAAAACUGUAAUAAUGACUUUAAACAUAUAUUAUCAUAAAUAUUCAUAGCAAGUGUUAAAUGCAAUUAACAUAAGUAAUGAACCACAAAUUUCUGAAUUCUGUCUAAUAUUUCACUAGGUUGAACAAAAUGAUCCAUUAAAUAUGACCAUGAUAUGAUAUAGGACAUUUUAAUUUGACGAGUAUUAAGUUAAAAAAGAAAACAAUAUGGUUAAAUACUUAAAUGAUUCAAAAAUAGAAUUCGUGCUUUUAUUUUUUAUUUUUUUAGAUCCUAUUAAAAAGGACCUGGCCUGUAGUGUACUCUAGUUGAGCGUUGACGAGCCUGAGUUUUUUAGAGCCUAGGCGCACCUUUAACAACUAUGGGCUGGAGAGGUAUUCCAGGAUGAGGUUGGUUAGUUUGAAACUUUUGUUGGAGUUUUAUCUAGACGUUUUGAUUGGACAGUACUGGAGUACUUAUUGAAUUGGUUAUAGCCUUGGUUUAGCCCUUCAUGCAAAUACAGGUCAAACCUUGGUAGCAAAGUUUUAAUACCCGGACCAGACUUGGUUGGUCAACUAGGCUGUGUUGACUUGGCCCAUAUAUUGAUGGGGUAUAUACUCCAACAUGAUUAGUUUUGGAUAUAUCUUACAUUUAAAGGCACUGUGGUCAUUCACAACCACUUUGAGAGACGACAAACCCAGGGUUGUUGUGGUUCCUUAAUAUUAGGGUGUCACACUGACCAGUUCCUGGUUUCCUACUCUCUUCAAUAUAUCCAUUUCUGGUUGAUUCUUGAUCGGCCUCAUGCUUGUCCAUUCAUGCUGAAUUUGGGCUAUAGUUUAUCUUUCCCUGUCAGACUCGAAGGUCAUCUGUUAUAGUUUGUGCCUUUUAAUGCAAUCAACAAUUUUGGGGAAUGAUAAUGAACUUUUUCUCUACUCUAUGGCAAUGUGAGAUCUCGAAUGCUAUGAAUCAAUGAAUGUCUUUUUUGACAUUUCAAGUGAUAUACUUUGAAGAAUAUUUGCAUUCUUUCACAAUUUUAUCGUUAGUCUAUUUCAAAUUACUAUUUCAACACUUCUCUGAAAAUCAUUGACAUGAUUUUUAUUACAGCUUUGAUACUUUCAAGCCAAUAAAUGAAAUGUGGAAAGGCUACAUGAUGCAACUUCUUAAAAAUGUCGGG